GAUGAACGCUGGCGGCGUGCCUAAUACAUGCAAGUCGAGCGAACUGAUUAGAAGCUUGCUUCUAUGACGUUAGCGGCGGACGGGUGAGUAACACGUGGGCAACCUGCCUGUAAGACUGGGAUAACUUCGGGAAACCGAAGCUAAUACCGGAUAGGAUCUUCUCCUUCAUGGGAGAUGAUUGAAAGAUGGUUCCGGCUAUCACUUACAGAUGGGCCCGCCGUGCAUUAGCUAGUUGGUGAGGUAACGGCUCACCAAGGCAACGAUGCAUAGCCGACCGGAGAGGGUGAUCGGCCAAACGGGAACGGGUAACCGGCCCAGACUCCUACGGGAGGCAGCGGUAGCGAAUCUUCCGCAAUGGACGAAAGUCUGACGGAGCAACGCCGCGUGAGUGAUGAAGGCUUUCGGGUCGUAAAACUCUGUUGUUAGGGAAGAACAAGUACGAGAGUAACUGCUCGUACCUUGACGGUACCUAACCAGAAAGCCACGGCUAACUACGUGCCAGCAGCCGCCGCGGUAA
rnacentral:rRNA from 1 species